rnacentral:lncRNA from 1 species
CCCGAGCUUAGCUGCAUUCGAGAAGUUGUCUGUAGCUACUAGUAUGCUAUUCAAGCUGAAAAAUGGGACAUCAAUACGUCUCUUUUCAUCUGCAGUGAUCAAAUCUUCACCGAAACUUUCUCUACGAGGAAAGUGCUCCAUAUGAUUCCCCAAAACAAUAUCUCUUGCUUCUAAAAUCAAACCAAUUAAGUAAUUAGUUAUGAACUUGAUCAUAAUAUACCUCCAAAAGCUGAACUUGAGAAAAAACAGAUGAGAUUUUUCAAUCGUUAUCACCUCUACUUCUUGUCACUCUAGUGUUCUGAUAAAUUAUAUAACUAAUGCUGCACAAAGUUAUAACUCCAAGAACUACAGAGAUGGAAAUAACAAGGGUUCUCUGAUUCCGUGAGGAUGCCAGCUUCGCAAUGAAUGAUCCUUGUGUUCCAAGUUCUGAAGCAAAUUUAAGAAAUGAAAUUUGUGUUGGUCAUAUAAAAGGUCAAAUGGAGAACAUAGGAAAAGGUAUCAUUGAACUAUUGGCAAGAAAAUCAUUUGUAGUAAGUAACAUUGAUCCAUAUACCUAAACUCGAGGAACAAUUUAAAAUCAAGCCAUUCCAUUUGUAAUCAGUUUGGCAUAUACAUCUUCUUUCUCCUUGUUUUGUCAUAUUGCAACUAGAAUUUGGCCAAUCAUUGCAAUCUUCUGAAGUCUUGCAAAAUGGCUCCAAUGGUGGUUUCCAACUAAUCAAUAUUAAAUCUUUCCCUCGACUAAAAGGUCCUGAAUUAAGAUUCUCUGUGGGAUUGUAACACCAGUUUAUCACCUUAAAAGGUGAUGACUGGUUGAACCAAGAAAUUCCUGUCACCGGUCCUUUGUCAUCACAAGUACCAACAGAUUCUUUAUGAGCUGCUUCUAUAACAAAUGUUUUGUUAUCUUUAUCAAAGUUAACGACAGUAUACUUGCCAUUCGAUGUGAGGAAGCUUACCUGACCAACUAAAUCAUCACAUGAGAAACUAUAAUACAAAGGGUCACCACAAUUUGGUUCACUGCUUAAUGGAUAGGGUAUUAGGUUUAUGCCACACGGCUUGCAAUUUCUCCUUGUUGCUUCUGCAAUGCACAAAAAUCAAAUUACUGUACUAUUUGUGGUCACACAUUAGCUUAAACUGUCUGUGUACGUAAGUUAAAUCGAAAAAGAAAUUACCAAUAUCGGAAAUGCUGACACGAACAGAGAUGUUGAAGCCACCAGCAUAGUUCUCCUGGAGAUACAUGAGACUAGUGACCCAAAUCCGGCAUACAGAAUCAUGGUAAGUAUAGGCCUGGCACUUACAGUUGCCUAGACAAAUUCUCCUGCAGUCCUCACGGGUACUAUUAUUACUGAAUAUCCUGUCUGGACUCUUGAAUUUCAUCGACCUCAAAUCCAAGAACGUGUCGAGCACUUCUACAUUGUCUUCAUUGCAAGAGCUAACUGACAUACUUGAACAACCACCUGAAAAUUCUCCUGCUUUUGAAUUAUCUGGAGGAUUGAGCUUAUACCCGGGCAAACAUUUGCAUACUGGCUCACGUUUGCUGUUACAAAUGCUAAAUUUCCCACAAUACUUAUACCAAUCACACUUAUCAUUUGGCGCUGACCACCUCAAAGACCAUCCACUGAUCUCCUUAUCCCAACCGUAGAAUUGUAUUUCCCCCGAGGAGUUCAUUAAGAGCCUAUACUUGUUAAAUGUUCCUAUCGAUUCCAAUGAAUUAUUAGUGGAGUUGGAUAACAAGUAGGCAACAUAACCAGGCAUCUCACUGAAACUUAACUUUCCUGAUUCCGCAGACCCUUUCCAGAGAAUUUUGCCCUGCUUUGGAAGUACUAUAACAUAUUCCUUGUCACUUGCUUGAUCUAAUCGGAAUAUGUAGUUCUCAUAUUUUGAAUCAGUCAAAUUCAAACUGCUAUCCAUUUUCAUACCUGGUAGGAAUGUAUCGGUUGGAUUGCGAAAACUCUGCCACAUUUCAGCUCCUUCAUCAACUAAAACUAAAUUCCCUGUAUCCAACAACUCUACUUUCCUGUUAGAACCACUACCUAAUUGUGUGGAGAAAUAAGUAUACCCAUUACUUAUAACUUUGAGAUUACCAUCUUCAACGACAACCGAAUUAUCCUCAUUCAUUAUUCUUUUACCCUGAAUCGAAUUAUUCCAAUUAGCAACCCAUACAACAGUUCUAGGACUUAAUUUGUAAUACCAUAUGCCUACAUAUUUGUUUAACCCGGCAUCAUCAGAAAAGAAUCCCAUUUCGAAAUUUUCUCCAGCAGAUACGAGGGUUUCGCCAUUGUCAACUAAUUUACUGCUUCCAUCAAUGGUGCUCCUCCUUGCAUCACAUCGAUGUAAAAUCAUCAAUGCUGCAGACAACAACAACAACAGAAAAUUACUUAAUUGCAUUGUUUUAUGGAAUUGUUGAUGAUUUGAAUGAAGAACAUAAAUUCAAAUAGGUAGCUCUUGCCCUCUAUUUCAUUUCAGUGAGACCCUACAUGACUAAUUGUUUCAUUGAGAAAAAAACUCCCCCUUUCCGACAUUGCCAGCUCUUUGCCAAUUGACCAAGUCAUUGGUCUUUUUCUAAUGUCUUAUAUUGUAUCGUAUUGUAUUGUCUAAAUUAAUAACGAUUUUGAUAGAUGAUAUUAUUUACAAUCACACAUUGGGAAUUUGGAUGAUGAACUUAUAAGAAAAGUGACAUGUGGUAGAGCUAUUAUGAAAAGGUUUAAAUAAUAAAUAAAAAUAAAAUAAGAAGAAAAUAUUAAAGUAACGAUGCAAUCACACCAAAUCGAUUAUUAUAUAAAAUGAGAGUUUUUGUUUUUACCUAAUGAUAGAUCUAAAAAUACGAUACAAUAAAAUUUUAGUAACAAUCAAAACAAAUAUUAUAUUUGAACUAAUAAUAUAAUACAGUACAACGAGUAACAACUGUCCAAACGUGUAAAGGGGUUAAACACUCUAAAUCGAGAAGUUCUUUAUUCUCUAGAACCCAAUACUAUUUUGUUACAAAUAGAAGGAUAUUAACUGUCUCACUCACUUUUUAAUAGUUAAUUAGUUUUUGGAUUACUUCAUCCAUCCCAAAAGCUUAGUUAUUUCCACUGGAUUUAUGUGAAACUUGUAAUCUAAUAUAGUGUUUAAAUUUAUGUUACUUCCUUCAUCUAUUUUUAUUUUUAUUAUUAUCAUACAUAAUAAACAAUAACAUUAGCAUAAACAUAUAUUAUUUCCAUAUUCAAUACUAGUAGCGAAUUUAUUUACUAAAAAUGAGGUAAGUAAACUUGUGGUUUCUCCGUGAAAUUAUUUAUUUUAUGUAUAUAUCUUUUGAAAUUUGUACAAUAUUAUUUGUUGAUAUUCAUAUUAUGAAAAGGCUAAAUGAUGUACUUAAUUAGAUAUUAGGUUAUUUAUUUAGAGGACUAGAGACUAAUUCUCAUUUAGUAUUUCUUUUUUCUUAUUUUAAAAAUCUUAAAUUCGUCCUCCGUUCAACACAAAUUUAUUGAUGAAAUAUAAGCCACAUACUAUAAUGUAUCUAUUUUCAAAGUGGAGUGAUUGAUACGUGAGAAAAAAUGUUAGGUCAAAGUCUAACUUUGAAACACUGAAAAGUUUCUCCUCAGUUCCUUUAUGAUCUUUUCUAAGCUGAACAACACUUCCACUCAUCUACUCCAUAUCUUCUUCUUCUAUCGUUUUUAUCGAGUGUUUUGAUAUAUGUCUUACAGUUUGACUAUUUUGGAUUCAUAUCGUAUAGGACUCCAUUCGAGGGAAAUAUUUCCUAAGACUCUGGUUAAAGAAUAAAAGUACAGUCUCAUCCACUACACCACAUUCUUUAGUGGUUACUCCAUAUCUUUUCUUUCAAUUCAAUGUGAAUCUUUCAUUUAAAUGUUUUAGGGCUGUCAAUGUUUCUUUAAAAUUGAUCAAACAGAUUAUUAGAGAUUUUAAAUAAAAAUUGGAUGAUCCUACGUAUUUUAUAAUCGUACCGAAUAAUUAUAUUAGGAUUUUAAUUUUAUAAAAGAAGUUGAAGAAAAUACCAAAAUGAACCUAAGGUUGUUUUCUCUCUCUCUUCCUUUUUAAAUGGUUGCAAUAUUUGAGCUAACUAUCAGUUUUAUAUUUUUAAAAUUUUAUAUUGAUACUACGUGUUAUCUUUUCAAAGUUAAUACGUCUAAAUUGAAAAGUUUCUAUUAGCAACUCAAUUGUCGUUCUAAAAUGGAACAAACUUUGUUAUUUCUUGCAAGUUAUCAUAAUUAAUUUUUAUGAUUCUAUGUGACGAAUGAAACAAAUCCGAUUUCCAAUACAAAUAAUGAUAUAUAUUAUAAUCACUUAAUACAAGUUACAAUGUAGAAUAUAUAUAACAAAGUAAUAACACACUAACUAAGGAGAGAUCAACAGAGAAGAAGUAACGAGAGAGAUGAGUACAAGACCAUAGAAAGGGAAUGAGAGAUAUCAGAAAGUCAAAGCUUUGACAUUAUAGUUUUCAUAACCGUUCUUUGUGAUCCCUAGUCUUUUUUAACAACAACUAAUUGAGUCUGGAUUCUGAAUAAAACUCUCCAAUAUUUUACUCAGCCUAACAAUAUAUCACCUUGAUCAGUGGUUUAGACCAUUGGCCCUUAUAGAAUCAUGAUGGUUCACAACAACAAAUAAGUCAUCCUCAAUGAUUCUGAUGUGAUAUAUAUUCAAAAAUAAAAAACCAAAAACUAAUUGAAAUGUAUCGAUACCGAAUAGAAACUUAAAUGAUUGAAACGGUUUAGAAAAAUCUAAUUUUUGUGCUACGAAAUGAAAGAAUAACUAAAAAGUUAAAAAUUAUAUAAGUUUCAUAAAUUAAUUGUUCUAACAUUUGACACGCCUAGUUUCGUCUUCCGUGAAGUGAUUUUUUUUUUAAAAAAAUGGGGGUAGGGAAGGGAAAAUUGGGAAGAGAUUAUAACGUGGGGAAGCAAACCCUCACCAAUAAGGUGAAAAUUUAAGUAACUAACCAACUGAGCUACUAAUAUUGUGAUUAGACAUCACUAUAAUCCUUGUCUGGUCCAACAUUUGUUUCGGACUUUAUUGUCGUAUCUCACAAAUAAUUCCAAUUUCCAGGAAGCUUUUUAUAAUGAAUUAUUUCCCCAACAAAUAAUGCAAUAUUUCAGGACUCUUCAUGGACACAUCACUAUUUUUAAAUAGGAGUACAACUUUGACUUUGUCUAAUAGACUAGUAACUAGUAAUUAAGCUUUAACAAUACUACGCUACUGUUUGGCCAUAGAAUUUCAAAUAUUUUUGACAAAUAUUAUCUGGGUGAAAUUUCACCAUUUGUUUGGUCAUAAUAUUUGAAAAACAUUUCACUUUUUUAGAAAAAAUAUGAUAUAUAUCCAUAAGUUUUAAAACUAAUCAUAAGUUUGUAUUAUAAGUCAUCUUCGUUGCAACAAAUAACAAGUAGUGUCCAUGACACUAGAGCAAUGUGUUAGUCUGGAGUCAGUGCAACAAGCAUCAUUCCAUACACCGUGAAGUAGACAAAACACAUGACUUUGUUAUCCUGAGCCGAUUGUUUAUCAUUUUCAUCAAGAACCAUAUCAUCACUUUCACAUUCACUGAAUAUUUCAUCACUACUUGGGUGUUCACGUACAGAAUUAUGUAAUACAGCGUAAACAACUACUAUAGAUGGUGUUUUUGUAAAAGAUAAAAGUUUGGUGUAGAAUUUGAAUUUUUAAAAGAUCCAAAAUAAUGAGAUUUGACCCAAAAACUAGUUUUUUUCUAGUAUUUGGAACUUUGGGUUAUUUGCCAGAAAUAUUUGCCAAAUAAUGCCAAAUCCCCCCCCCCAAAUUUUACUUGAGAAAUCUAUGAUCAAAUAGGUUCUACAUUAUUUGCUUGGUAAGGAUACGAUUUGCGUAUACCGCGUAUACUACAUUCUUUUCAGGUCCACUUAUAGAAUCACAUUGAAUAUGUUGUUGUUGUUCGUUUAUAUAGAAUGUUGGUUGCUGGAUGUAUACAUAAUACAUUAAUUGUGACAUUAUAUCCAAACAAAGUUUUUAUAGAACUUGUACAUAACUCUACUUGAUAAUAAAUUUUUUAAUUAUUCUAUCCGAGACUACAACACAAUCGGUUAUUUUGCGUGCCAAAAUAAUUUAACAGAAAUUCAAACUGAAAUUGAAGUAAAGAUAUACCGGCACAUUAUUGGCUUGUGUGCGUUAUGCAUUUAACUUAUAUGUAUAUUGAUUUCAUCGGCCUACUCGUUGAGUUAUUGUCAACCCAUUGUUGGAAGUGUUGUAUAGCUUAGAAGACGAAGAAGAUGUACUUGCACCAGCACUAUUUCUUCGUGCUAUAAAAGCUGGUUGAUUUGGUCUUGGUAGUGUUAUGCUUUCACCUCCAAGCAUAAAAACAACAUUUGACAUUACAGGACGCUCAGCUGGAUCUUCUUGAACACAUAGGAGUGCCACAUUAACGCACUUUAGCACUUCACUUUCAUCGCACGACUCAACUAUGGUUUGAUCCAUCAUGUCUAAUGCACUGUCUUUCAUCCACAGUCUCCAUACCUGUGAAAUGCUAAUUUUGAGUCAAUGAAAGCUUUAAGUAGAAUGAGAUGUAUAUUAAUGAGGGAAAUUUUGGUACUUACAUGACCAAUGAGGUUUACAUCUUCGAAAAAUUCCAUGUUUCUCCUCCCACUUACGAUCUCGAGUAGGACUACUCCGAAGGCAAAUACAUCAGACUUGAUUGAAAAGAGUCCCUCCAAUGCAUAUUCCGGAGACAUAUAGCCACUGUUUUUAGUGUUCCAGAAUAGGUUAUUUUAGCAUCUAGUUUGUGUAAACCAAUACAUUAGGUGUGUAUAUAUCUAUCUUCUUCCCACCAAAUCAAAGGUGAAGCAGAACUAAGAGACUUACUAUGUUCCAACGACUUUGUUAGUAUUGGCUUCUGUAUUUUUGCCUUCAACAAUCCUUGCCAAGCCAAAAUCUGAUAUUUUGGCAUUCAUUUCUUCAUCUAACAAUAUGUUGCUCGUCUUUAGAUCUCUAUGAAUGAUCCUUAGCCUCGAGUCUUGGUGAAGAUAAAGUAGCCCUCGAGCAAUACCCAAUAUAAUUUCAAAACGAAUCCUCCAGUCCAGUAAUCGACAGAAUGCAUGAUCUAAUUUCAAGGUUUGUAAGAUAACUUCAGAGAGAAUCAAUCAUAAAACUAUUACUACAACGAGUUUCAUGGUAGGGAGGGAAGUAUACUAACCGAAUAGAAACGUAUCCAAGCUUUUGUUGGGCAUAUAUUCAUAUAACAAAAUCUUUUCAUUUCUCUCAACACAAUAGCCUAGAAGCCUAACUAAAUUUCUGUGCUGCAGUUUGGCAAUCAACAUUACUUCAGUUUUAAAUUCUUCAACACCUUGUCCAGAAUUACUUGACAACCUUUUAACUGCCAUAUCUGUACCUCCGAGAAACUUACCCUGCAUAAAUAUAUCUCCGGACUGUUAUAUAAUGAAAACGAAAGAAAAAAAUCUGAAUGGUAAAACAACUUAGAACAGAAGAAGGAAAGAAAAAUAAAGUUGCAAAACCUUAUAAACAGGUCCAAAUCCACCUCUCCCGAGCUUACUUGCAUUUGAGAAGUUUUCAGUAGCAACUAGUAUGCUAUUCAAGCUGAAAAACGGGACAUCAAUCCGUUUCUUAUCAUCUUCAGUGAUUAAAUCUUCAUCAAAACUAUCUCUAUGAGGCAAGUACUCCAUAGGCAUUCCCAAAACAAUAUCUCUGGCUUCUAUAAUCAAAACAAUUGAAGUGAUUACGAUAUCCAAAAGUUGGAGUAGUUGAGAAAAAGCAGAUGAAAUUUCUACAUUGUUACCUUUACUUCUUGCCGAUCUUUUCAGAUAAAUUAUAUAAAUAAUACCACACAGAACCAUAACUCCAAGAAUUACAGAGAUGGAAAUAACUAGGGGUUGCUGAUUCCGUGAGGAUAUCUGCAUCGGUGUAUUGUUCAAUGGUUCUUGUGGUCUAACAUCUGAAAACAAUUCAAUAAAUAAAACAAGUGUUGGUAUCAGAAAGGUAAAAUGAAGAAUUUAUGGUCACACAUCAGCUUCUUACCAAUAGGGGGCCAGAGGCGUAUCCAGGAUCUCAAGAACAUGGGGGCACCAUUAUCUUCAAAAUAGGCAAUUAAUUCAAUUAUAUAAAUUUUACGGUGAGAACAAGUUGACGAGCAAGUAGGUAGUAACAAUCUUUAUAUAGUAAUAUAUUAGCAACAAACAUCAUUCACUUACAAUUGUCCUCGACGAGUUUUCAUAUUUUGAAAACGGUCAAUAAUGGCAUCAUUACUUACAUUUUUAAAUAUACUACGCUCUAUAUAGCAAACUAAACAACCAUUCAAAAGAUCUUCAUCCAUCCUAUUACGCAAAUCAUUCUUUAUGUACUUCAUUGAUGAGAAUGCUCUUUCCACGCUUGCGGUAGCAACAGGAAUAAUCAAAGUUAGCUUCACAAGUAGAUACACAAGUGACCAAGUUUGAUCUAGUUUUGUCUCUAUCAUCACUUUUGCAAGAUCCUUGAUUCCCUUCAAGUUGAGAAACUUGCUAUCACACUUUUGAGCAUAGACAAUAAAAUCAUCAAGUUGAAAAUUGAGUUCCCGAAGCUCUUUAUCACCAAACUCACUUGGGUAGUACUCGGCUAGUUUCAUUAUCCUAUCCUUGUGAAAAUUAGCAAAUGAAUCAACCGGACUCAAACUAGCCAUACCGAGGAGCAAGUCACUAGUCACCACAUCAAAACGAUUAUUGAGUUCUUGAAGUGCCAAAUCAAUGACGGCAUAAAAUACUUCCACACGAAAGUGAUGCAAAUAUGAAAUAUUGGACCUCUUACGCUUCGACUUCCCAUUAGAGUAGUCUUCAUUCAUUUUGGGAAUUGAAAUUCCAUGUUUACCACAAAAUAAGCUAACCUCAUCCAUCAUAGAGUCCCAUUCAUCCUCUCUCAUCAUUUGCAAUCGUUUCUUUGAAAGGUCAAGCAAUCCCAUAGCAUUAACAAUAUCUUGAUCUUUCUUUUGUAAAACUUUAUUCAACUCAUUCGUCAAUAGCAACACCUUAAACAUCAAGUGCAACAUAAAGACAAAUUCAAAUUCAUGAAUCUUGCUCAAAAGAUUUUCCGCCGUAAAUCUAUCAAGAUGAUAUGGACAAUCACGUUUCAUAUCCUUAAGCACAUUAACAAUUGAAGAAAAAAGAAUCAGGAAAUUGUCCAAGGUUUUAAAAUGAGACCCCCAACGAGUAUCACCCGGUCGUUGGAGGCCACGUUCUUGAUUCAAACCUUGCCCUGUAUGAACUUCUCCAAAUUUAAGCAACUCUUCCAACUUAUCUUCUUGAUGUUGUCGAAGUGAAUCUCUGCGUUUAAAUGAAGCUCCAAUAGUAUUCAAAAUAUUAGUGAGAACAUAAAAAAAAUUAUCCACAUCCGAAUUCUUUUUGGAAAGACCUACAAGUGCCAAUUGCAAUUGGUGAGCAAAACAGUGAAUAGAAUAUGCAGAUGACGUAUCUUGUAAAAUCAAAGACUUGAGACCAUUUAUUUCCCCUUGCAUAUUACUAGCCCCAUCAUAACCUUGACCACGUAUUUUGGAUGUACAUAAUGAGUGAUCCAAAAGCAAAGAAUAAAUUGCCUUUUUUAAUGAUUGAGAAGAUGUAUCAUUUACGUGGACAAUACCCAAGAAUCGCUCUAUCACCAUUCCACUUUUGUUGACAUAUCUCAAAAUUAGAGCCAUUUGCUCCUUAUGAGAAACAUCCUUUGAUUCAUCAACUAAUAUUCCAAAAUAAUCACCGUCCAAGUCUUCAAUGAUAGCCUUAGUUAUUUCUUUAGCACAAGCCUCCACAAUAUCUUUUUGAAUUGUCGGACAAAUCAUCAUAUCAUUUUGUGGAGCAUUACCUAAUAUUACUCUUCCCACAUCAAAACUUCUAUCCCCAUACCAUUUCAAAAGUUCAAGAAAAGCACCCUUAUAUUCGGAACCUUCACUUUCAUCAUGUCCACGAAAUGGAAAUCCCGAUGUCAAGAGAAAUCUUGCUACAUCAAUUGAGGCAUUUAAACGCAUCCGAUAAUCACUUCUUGCCUUUUCACUUUGCUUGUCAAAAGAAGAUUGGAUCAAUUGUCGGUGGUUUUUCAAAUCUUGCAUCCUAUUGAAACAUUUAUGAUGGAUACUAUUUACCUUACCAACAUGUUUUUUGAAUCUUUCUAAAGCUUUGUUCCAACACCUAAAACCAUCUCUUGUAAAUGAAUCUCCGGCAUUUCCACGACUUUCAAGUUCAUUCUUGAACAAAAAACAACACAAACAAAAUGUUGUGUCUGCUUUAAUGCUAUAUUCCAACCAUUGAGAUCUUCUCUUAAACCAAGUUGGUCGAAAUUGACGCAUUUUAUCUCCAAACUUAGUUUUAGGGAAGAUAUGAUCAACAAGUUGACAUGGCUUUUUUAGAAUGUAAUACCUCCUUACCGCAUUUCGAAUAUUAGGACAAUAAGAUGAAAUAGGCAUUCGAUCUUUGGGAUCUGCUUCCAGAGAUUUAAAAUCAAGUAUAUUAUCCAUAUUUGAAAGUGGAAAAGAAUUUGUAUGUCUUUGAACUUCCGGAGCAACUUGUGAACUCACGAAUGGUUGAUUAGAGCUAGAACUUGGUUGGCCAUCUUUUGGCUUUGGUAACUUGAUGAGAAACUUAUCCAUUUGUGAUUUGAUGAAUUGAUUGUAAGAAUUAUUUUACCUACAAAAUUAAAUAUUCACACUUCUAUUCAAUCUUAUAAAAACAAAAUAAUUUUUAAAAAAUAUUAGCACAAAUAACAAGUUUACUAAUAAAAGAAUCACAAUUAUUAGAUAACUAUUUAGAAAUCAAGAAAUUCUUAUAAAUUUAAAUAUUCAAGCAAUCAAAUAAUGGAACCACUUCAUAAAUCAAGAAAAACAUAUAAAACAAAUAAAGUACAUUAAUAAAUAAUUAUUUUUUUUAGAUAACAUACCUUGUUACUUGUUCUCAAAUCUCACUUCUACUUCACCAUGAACAACAAAGUGGAAAUGUGGAAUGAAGCCAAAAGAAGAACAAUAUGAUGUCUUUACUCCUUUUUACCUUUUAGUUUAGGGCUUUGAAAAGUCAAAAGAAAAAGUUAAAAAAAAAUAAUAAGAAAAACGUCUAAAUAAAGAAGGAAAGGAGAAAAAGAAAGUAAAAAAUAUAAUUUGACUUUAUUGACACUUCUAGCUUAAGGUCUAGACAUAGCUAAUGCAACCUAAAAAUAUGGGUAUUUGAACCUCUUUUUAUUUAUAAAUUAUUAAAAAGAUCUAUGAAAAGUGGUACAUUUUGUUAUAUUAAUUAAAAAUUAAAAAUGUUAAUGUGGAUAGAAAAAUUUGAACCACAAAUCUAUAAGUUAUGCACCCCCUAUUUGUACUUACUUAUCAAUAUACUAGAGUAUUCUUUUUAACCUUGGGUUCACCAAUACAAAUUUAAAAAGAUAAUUAGAAAAAUAGUAGUAUUAUAUAGGGGUUAGGAAGGGGAGGAUGGGUGCAUGUGAACCCCCUCCCCUUCACAUACAUACGCCUCUGUAGGGGGCACGCGGACAGAGAGGUUGAAGCCACCAGGGUAGUUCUCCUGGAGAUUAUUGAGAUUCGACCCCCAAAACCAGCAUCCAGAAUUGUUAUAAUAUGUAUAUGCUUUGCAUGAGCAGCUGCUUAAACAAUGACUCAUGCAGUUCUCACUGGUAUUAAUCUUUUUAUCUGUCCAAUUUGAAUUUCCAAAUUUCAUUGAGCUCAGAUGCACAAAUGUAUCUUCUUUGCAUGAGUUAUCUGAUAUUCUCGAACAUCCACCUGAAUAUUCCCCGUCUCCAUUAUCUUCUGGAGGAUCACUCUGAAACCCAGGCAAACAGCUGCACACUGAACUUCCAUUGCUGUUACAAAUCUCAAAUGUCCCACAUUUUCUAAACUCGUCGCAUUCAUCUUUUGGGGCAGACCAUAACAAGGACCAUCCACUCUGGUUAUCCCAUAAGUAGAAUUGUAUUUCUCCAGAGGAGUUCAUCAGGAGUCUAGUACCUUCGAAAAUAGAAUCUUUGCUACUAUGAUUGGCUAACCUUGAAAAAUCAAUCGGAGUAAAACUACGAUUAUUAUUGAAUAAUGUUCUUGUCGCUUCCACUGAAUUAUUGAAUAAUGUUCUUCUCGCUUCAACUGAAUUAUUGGAUAAAAAGAAGGUUACAAAAGAGGGCAUAUCAUUGAAUCUGAAGAAUUCAUAAGCAGUUGAUUUCGCAAACCCUCCUACAGACCCUUGCCAGUGAAUUUUAUGCAUUCCAUUCUCAUCAACUAUGACAUAUUUUUUGUUGUUUGUUUGAUCUAAUUGGAAUUUGUAGUUGCCAUUUUUUGAAUCAAUCAACUUCAAAUUACUAUCCAUUUUCAUGCCUGGUAGAAAUGUAUCGGUUGGAUUCCGAAAACUCUGCCACAUUUUAGUUCCUGAUUCAUCAAAUAAAACCAAAUUCCCUGUAUCCAACAACUCUGCUUUAACGCCAGAGUUACCAUCUACUUCUGAGGAGAAAUAAAUGUGUCCACUAAUAUUCAAAACUUUGAGCUUACCAUCUUCAACGACCAUGGAAACAUUCUCCUUAUUUUUUGUUGAAUUCUGAAUCGAAUCAUUCCAAUUAGCAACCCAUACAACAGUUCGAGGACCUUUCUUGUUAUACCAUAUGCCUACAUACCAGUUUAACCCGGCAUCAUCACAAAAGAAUCCCAUUUCGAAUUUUUUUCCAGCAGAUACCAGUGUUUCCCCGUUGUCUAUUAACUCACUCCCUCCAUCGAUCGUGCUCCUUGCAUCACAUCCACAUAUAAUCACCAACACUGCAAACAACAACAAGAGAAAAUUACUCAUUUGCAUAACUUAAACUUUUCCAGCAACUACUUGAGUCAGUAACAUUUUUUAUGGUAUGAAAAAGUAAACAUUCACUUCAAAUGGAACAUAUACUAGUACUAGUAAAUGCUUGAUUGCGAGUACAGUCAACUCACCAAGUCAAUGGUCGUCCUUAAAUUAUUUUAGCUUUUAUUUUCAGCCAACCAUUGAGAUUUUAUAUGAUAAAACUUUGUUUCUAUUACUCAAUGAUCACUCAACUAUUUGUAAUCAACUUAUAAUACUAUAAUUGAGUGACUUUUUGAAUAAUAAAUGGUAUGCUUUGGAGAAUUGAUAUGUAGAUAUAGAGUAAAUUACUUCCUCUGUCCAAAAUGUAACUAGGGUGUUUCAGAAACUAAAUUAAUUCUUGAUUUCAUUUGUACAAGAUCAUCAUAUUAUUUUACAUUUAGAUACUACUCUUAGAAUUACUUUCUAAUUCUCAUUUACUGUUUGGUGUGACUUCACAUAAAAACGAAGAAAAGUAUUCAAAAUGUUUAAUAAUUUAGGACUAGUAUUAUUGACAGAAAUAUAACCACAUAUAUUGUUUUCAUUUUUAUAAGAUGAAAGAAAUGAGACGACGAAAAAUGUAAGUCAAGUCAACUUUGGAGUACAGGAUUUUCUCGUACUACUAUAGUUAAUUCUUUAAUUUAUUAUCUCUUCGUUUAUUUUCUCUAUCGACAAAUAAGACGUAUGGUCCUAUCUCACAAAAUGAUUCCUGGAAUCAAAUUAUUUUUAUUUUAUUUUUUAAAUGGACAAAGACUAAAAUCCAGUUCUACAUAUUUUCAGACGAUAUAAUUAUAAAUUAUGUCAUUUAACUUUGUUUAAGUUACACUCUGUUUGUAUCAUUGUUACUCAUUUAUUUGACCCAAAUACUAGUUUUUUCUAGUAUUUGGGAAUUUGGGUUAUUUGUCAGAAAUAUUUGCCAAAUAAUAUCAAAUUGUAUGGACAAACACUAUUUGCUAAUUUUUUCCCCAAAUUUUACUUGAGAAAUCUAUGGCCAAACGGGUCCUACAUUAUUUGCUUGAUAAGGAUAAGAUCUGCGUAUACUCGUUUAUAUAGAACUAGUCCUGGACACGUGAGUCCCGUGAAAUGUGUGAAUUACUGUCAAAAUCACAUUUUAAUCAGUAUCACAAGCUAUUUUAAAAAAUACAAUUUAAAAUAGAUGAACAAUCAAUGUAUUCAAAUAACUUCUUUAUUGUAUAUCAAAUGAUUAGACAUUUGAUGAACCUGCAAAAUUUAGUUUGGUAUCUAAAAUAAUGAGUUACAUUUUUAUGUUAUUAGGUCCAAACAUAUGAUAUAUUAGUAUGUGCAAAAAUGAAUAACAAAAAUGAUUAAUGGUUCUCAUUUAAAUGCACAAUAAGAAAACUUCUACAUAUACCCUAAAUUGAUAUCUAUACUUCAAGUCCAACACUCAUACAAUUUUAAAUGAUUCAUGGAAGAAAAAUUUUAUAAUGGAGAAAGAAAGCAAGAACGAAAAGUUGAGGAUAUUGCAAAGAAAGUCUUCAUGCCCUGAAAAGAAAACUUUGUUAUUGUUAGAGACAACAUAUCAACAUUAGACUGUUCAUUGUUUAAUACUACACAUGUAUUAAAUUUACUCUCUUUUGCUAUUUUUUCUUCUUGAUUACCAAUUUUUAGCAUUUUUUUGGUUAUCUGAACUUGCAACUUCUAACUCUCUUAUUUUCUCAUGUUGAAUUGAGUAAUUUUCUUAAUUCGAUUUCCUAUUGUGAGUCUCCAUCUUUGCAAGUUGGUUCUUAAAUAGCAUUAGGAAAUGACCCUUUAAAUUCAAAUUUUAAUUCUGAAAUUGAUUUCUACAUUAAAGUGAUGAAUGACUUUCCAUAUCAUAACUUUUCAAAUUCUUCCAUUAUGAGAUUUAUUAUUAUGAUUAAGAGCAAUAUCAAUGUACUCAUUUAUAUAUAUAUAUAUAUGAUAUGAUGUUGGUUGCUGGAUGUAUGGAAAAAAUCCUUUUGGCCAGAAAAUUUGGUCAGAAUUUGGCCAGAAUGGUAAAAUAACAUAUUUCACACUAUGUUAUUUUACAUUUUUAACCUUUUAACUUUAAUACCUUUUAAUUUAAAAAAUGGAAAGAAGAUCCGUUUAUUUUAAAAUAAAAGAAUAUUAUAGACUUUUAAAUUUUCUGACCAAAUUUUCUGGCCAUUUAGCAUUAACCCUGGAUGUAUACAUAAUACAUUAAUUGUGACAUUAUAUCCAAACAAAGUUUUUAUAGAACUUGUACAUAACUCUACUUGAUAAUAAAAAUUUUAAUUAUUCUAUCGAGACUAUAACACAAUCAGUUAUUUAGCGUGCCAAAAUAAUUAACAGAAAUUCAAACUGAAAUUGAAGAAAAGAUAUACCGGCACAUUGUUGGCUUAUGUACGUUAUGCAUUUAACUUAUAUAUAUCGAUUUCAUCGGCCUACUUCUUCAGUUAUUGUCAACCCAUUGUUGGAAUUGUUGUAUAGCUUAGAAGACGAAGAAGAUGUACUUGCACCAGCACUAUUUCUUCGUGCUAUAAAAGCUGGUUGAUUUGGUCUUGGUAGUGUUAUGCUUUCACCUCCAAGCAUAAAAACAACAUUUGACAUUACAGGACGCUCAGCUGGAUCUUCUUGAACACAUAAGAGUGCCACAUUCAUACACCUUAGCACUUCAUUUUCAUCGCACGACUCAAUUAUGGUUUUAUCUAUCAUGUCUAAUGCACUGUCUUUCAUCCACAGUCUCCAAACCUGUGAUAAGUAAGUUUGAGUCAAUGAAGGCUUUAAGUAGAAUGAGAUGUAUAUUAAUGAGGGAAAUUUUGGUACUUACAUGACCAAUGAGGUUUACAUCUUUACAUCUUCGAAAAAUUCCAUGUUUCUCCUCCCACUUAUAAUCUCGAGUAAGACCACUCCGAAGGCAAAUACAUCAGAUUUGGUUGAAAAGAGUCCCUCCAUUGCAUAUUCCGGAGACAUAUAGCCACUGUUUUUAGUGUUCCAGAAUAGGUUAUUUUAGCAUCUAAUUUGUGUAAACCAAUACAUUUUGGUGUGUAUAUAUCUAUCUUCUUCCCACCAAAUCUAAGGUGAAAGCAGAACUAAGAGACUUACUAUGUUCCAACGACUUUGUUAGUAUUAGCUUCUGUAUUUUUGCCUUCAACAAUCCUUGCCAAGCCAAAAUCUGAUAUUUUGGCAUUCAUUUCUUCAUCUAACAAUAUGUUGCUCGUCUUUAGAUCUCUAUGAAUGAUCCUUAGCCUCGAGUCUUGGUGAAGAUAAAGUAGCCCUCGAGCAAUACCCAAUAUAAUUUCAAAACGAAUCCUCCAGUCCAGUAAUCGACAGAAUGCAUGAUCUAAUUGCAAGGUUUGUAAGAUAACUUCAAAGAGAAUCAAUCAUAAAACUAUUACUACAACGAGUCUCGUGGUAGGGAGGGAAGAUUACUAACCGAAUAGAAACGUAUCCAAGCUUUUGUUGGGCAUAUAUUCAUAUAACAAAAUCUUUUCAUUUCUCUCAACACAAUAGCCUAGAAGCCUAACUAAAUUUCUGUGCUGCAGUUUGGCAAUCAACGUUACUUCAGUUUUAAAUUCUUCAACACCUUGUCCAGAAUCACUUGACAACCUUUUAACUGCCAUAUCUGUACCUCCGAGAAAGUUACCCUGCAUAAUUAUAUCUCCAGACUGUUAUAUAACGAAAACGAAAGAAAAAAAUCUGAAUGGUAAAACAACUUAGAACAGAAGAAGGAAAAAAGAAAAGAAAAUUGCAAAACCUUACAAACAGGUCCAAAUCCACCUCUCCCGAGCUUACUUGCAUUUGAGAAGUUUUCGGUAGCAACUAGUAUGCUAUUCAAGCUGAAAAACGGGACAUCAAUCCGUUUCUUAUCAUCUUCAGUGAUUAAAUCUUCAUCAAAACUAUCUCUAUGAGGCAAGUACUCCAUAGGCAUUCCCAAAACAAUAUCUCUGGCUUCUAUAAUCAAAACAAUUGAAGUGAUUACGAUAUCCAAAAGUUGGAGUAGUUGAGAAAAAGCAGAUGAAAUUUCUACAUUGUUACCUUUACUUCUUGCCACUCUUUUCAGAUAAAUUAUAUAAAUCAUACCACACAGAACCAUAACUCCAAGAAUUACAGAGAUGGAAAUAACUAGGGGUUGCUGCAUCGGUGUAUUGUUCAAUGUUCCUUGUGUUCCAACUUCUGAAGACAAUCCAAUAAAUGAGACAAGUGUUGGUAUCAGAAAGGUAAAAUGAAGAAUUUAUGGUCACACAUCAGCUUCUUACCAUUAGGGGGCAUGCGGACAGAGAGGUUGAAACCAUCAGUGUAGUUCUCCUGGAGAUUAUUGAGAUUCGACCCCCAAAACCAGCAUCCAUAAUUGUUAGAAUAUGUAUAUGCAUUGCACGAGCAGUUGCUUAAACAAUGACUCAGGCAGUUCUCACUGGUAUUAAUCUUUCUAUCUGUCCAUUCUGGAUUCACAAAUUUCAUUGAGCUCAGAUCCAUAAAUGUGUCUUCUUUGCAAGAGUUAUUUGAUAUUCUCGAACAUCCAGCUGAAUAUACCCCGUCUCCAUAAUAUUCUUGAGGAUCACUCUGAAACCCAGGCAAACAUCUGCACACUUGCCUGUCUUUGCUGUUACAAAUCUCAAAUUUCCCACAUUGUCUGAACUCGUCGCAUUUGUCUUUUGGGGCUGACCAUAACGUGGACCAUCCAGUCUCAUUAUCCCAAAAGGUGAAAUGUAUUUGUCCAUCGGUCAUCAGGAGUCUAGAAUGUUUGUAAAUAGAAUCUUUGUUACUAUGAUUGGCUAAGCUUGAAAUAUUCAAUAAUGUUCUUCUCGCUUCAUCUGAAU